GAGGAUUUAUCUUCGCUCAUCUAUAUAUUCCACUAUCUAUAGUGCAUAUAUGUUUUCCUCUGCAACACACUGAAAAUUUGAACACGCUUGGUGAUAACUUACCUGCCGCAUUGCAUUUAAUUGUGGGCAUUUCUGAUUUCUGCUGGAACCAAGGCUGGAACAAAAUUCUUGAUUCAAAACGUACACGCUUAUAUCAGUUUACCUAUUUAUGGGUACUUUGAUCACCCAUAUUUGGGUAGUGUGAACAUUACUCAUAUUAUGGGUGAAAUGUACCGAAAAAAUCGGCAAAUUUCACCCACAUCUUUAGUUACAUAACUUUACCGAUAUAUGGGUAAAUUAAUUUACCCAUAUUUGGAUGAAAAUAAAAACAUUUGCGUCAGAAUAGCAUCAGCCAACAAAUCGCGUAGACUAUCGAUAAAAAAUAAUGUCGAGGAUCGAAAUACUUAAACUUAAACGCUGAAACCACGAUCAACAGCAAACGCCAUGGAACGGGGAAAUUUCAUGAAGAAUUCUGCCACUUCUUGGUGCAAAAACAGGUCCAUUUCCUAACCAGUGGGUUCCCCGCCAUCUGCAAAUCGACCAACCAAAACACGCCAUCGGCCGGAGCGGAAAUUUGGAACCGCAUAAAGAAAACCGAUAAGAGUCUAAACGGUCUAAACUACAAGCCCACGAUUUACAGCCUCAUGUUUGAACGGUUAUUGUUCUCCCCAGAGAACCAUUAACAGGGAACAGCAGUGCGGAUCGCUUCUCAGCAGCCCACCCGGCCAUUCCAUAGCGCAUUGUCCCUCGUAGAACGAAUCAACAGAAUGAGAUGGCACCACCGAAAAACUCACCGUUUGGGGCGCUCUCAAUCUUCUCAGAGCCUUCUUGCUUACGGAGAACAACGAACCUAUUUGAUUUUGGAAGACGGAGCUCGCUUAAUCAGUCCCGUACCAGCCAUUUCGUUAUUGGGCGUCAGUCAAAACGAAGUGCCAAGAUGAAAUCCAGAAUUGGGCAAUGAGAGAAACCGCUUCGUUCACACAAGCGGAAAUAUGCGGCAGGAAUUCGACGUCACCAGUAAUACCUGGCAAGAGCUGUUAUUCAACAUAAUGCGACACCUGCUAUUCUCAAGAUGGUGAUCAUAAUUGCGAUAUUUGUAAAAUACAUAUAAUAAAACCAAAUGGCUAAUAAAGUUAUUCUUAAU